rnacentral:rRNA from 1 species
GUGUUCGGGUUGUCAUGCCAAUGGCACUGCCCGGUAGCUAAAUGCGGAAGAGAUAAGUGCUGAAAGCAUCUAAGCACGAAACUUGCCCCGAGAUGAGUUCUCCCUGAGACUUAAAGUCUCCUGAAGGAACGUUGAAGACGACGACGUUGAUAGGCCGGGUGUGUAAGCGCAGCGAUGCGUUGAGCUAACCGGUACUAAUGAACCGUGAGGCUUAACCUU